rnacentral:rRNA from 1 species
CCUACGGGUGGCAGCAGUGGGGAAUAUUGGACAAUGGGCGAAAGCCUGAACCAGCCAUGCCGCGUGCAGGAAGACGGCUCUAGGAGUUUUAAGCUGCUUUACUAGGGAAGGAAAUAGUGACGGUACUAUAAGAAUAAGCCACUGCUAACUACGGGCCAGCAGCCGCGGUAAUACGUAGGUGGCGAGCGUUAUCCGGAUUUACUGGGAGGAAAGGGCGUGUAGGCGGGAGAGCAAGUGAGGGGUGAAAAUUAGGGGCCUAACCUGUGGCCUGCAUUGGAAACUGGGAUGCUUGAGUGAAGGAGAGGUAAGCGGAAUUCCUAGUGUAGCGGUGAAAUGCGUAGAUAUUAGGAGGAACACCAGUGGCGAAGGCGGCUUGCUGGACAGUAACUGACGCUGAGGCGCGAAAGCGUGGGGAGCAAACAGGAUUAGAUACCCUUGUAGUC